CAGCAGCCGCGGUAAUACAGAGGUCUCAAGCGUUGUUCGGAUUCAUUGGGCGUAAAGGGUGCGUAGGUGGCGGGGUAAGUCAGGUGUGAAAUUUCGGAGCUUAACUCCGAAACUGCAUUUGAUACUGCCUUGCUUGAGGACUGGAGAGGAGACUGGAAUUCACGGUGUAGCAGUGAAAUGCGUAGAGAUCGUGAGGAAGACCAGUGGCGAAGGCGGGUCUCUGGACAGUUCCUGGCACUGAGGCACGAAGGCCAGGGGAGCAAACGGGAUUAGAUACCCCGGUAGUCCUGGCAGUAAACGGUGCACGUUUGGUGUGGGGGGAUUCGACCCCUUCCGCGCCGGAGCUAACGCGUUAAACGUGCCGCCUGGGGAGUACGGUCGCAAGAUUAAAACUCAAAGAAAUUGACGG
rnacentral:rRNA from 1 species